UUUUUAUGAGAGUUUGAUCCUGGCUCAGGACGAACGCUGGCGGCGUGCCUAAUACAUGCAAGUCGAACGCUUCUUUUUCCACCGGAGCUUGCUCCACCGGAAAAAGAAGAGUGGCGAACGGGUGAGU
rnacentral:rRNA from 1 species